GCGCCCGUAACUCAGUUGGCAGAGCGGUGGAACGGUGAUCCACAGUCCCGGGUUCAAGUCCCGGCGGAUACU